AUUGAACGCUGGCGGCAGGCCUAACACAUGCAAGUCGAGCGGAUGAAGGGUGCUUGCUCCUGGAUUCAGCGGCGGACGGGUGAGUAAUGCCCAGGAAUCUGCCUGGUAGUGCGGGAUAACGUCCGGAAACGGGUGGUAAUACCGCAUACGACCUGAGCCAGAAAGAGGGGGAUCUUCGGACCUCACGCUAUGAUAGGAGUCUAGGCCGGUGUAGCUAGUUGGUGGGGUAAGGGCCUUCCAAGGCGACGAUCCGUAGCUGGUCUGAGAGGAUGAUUAGUCACACUGGAACUGAGACACGGUCCAGGGUCCUACGGGACGCAGCAGUGGGGGAUAUUAGACAAUGGGCGGUAACCUGAUCCAACCAUGCGGCGUGUGAGGAGAAGAUUUUGCGAUUGGAAGGCCGUUUAACGUGGGAGGAAUGGCAGUAAGUUGGUACCUUGCUGUUUUGACGUUACCAAGAGAAUAAGCACCGGCUAACUACGUG
rnacentral:rRNA from 1 species